ACUUGACAGCUUCAUUAUUAAAAGAUUAAAAAUCAAAAUGCCAAAUUCGAAAAGAAACCCCAAAUUCGAGAAUGGGGAGCCAAUUCAACGAUUCAGAUGCUGACUGGGAUCAUCUCCUCACCGAAGAAGAUCUCCGAGCAAUCGAUGCCGCCGCCGGUGUUCCGCCUCAUUCUAUGAAACAUCGCGCUCGCACUGAUUUCGACGGGGAUAGCGCCUCCGUUGAUUCCCCUCCCAUAAUGCGCCGCCGAUUGCCCUAUUCACUCUUCGUUUUCCAGCAACGGCUUAACAAUAACAAUCCAUCAUCCUCGUUAGCGGCGUGUAACAGGAAUCGCUUUUACACUCGCAAUGAUACUUCUUCUGCUUUUCCAGAUAUAAAAUUCUGCGGUCACAUUAUAUACAAGAGAACUAUGGAAGAGAUGGAAAGAGCUGCAAUGGAGCUUCUAGCUUUUGUGGAAACUAAGAAAAGAGAAGAUGGCCAGUGUGUCCUUGGUCUGGAUAUUGAGUGGAGGCCAACCUUCAAAAGAGGUGUUGCCCCUGGGAAGGCUGCAGUUAUGCAGAUAUGCGGGGACAGUAAAUGUUGCUUUGUCUUUCACAUUUUUCAUGCUCAAAUAACCAGAAGUUUGCAGUAUCUUUUGGAAGAUCCCACUUGUCAGAAGGUGGGUGUGGGCAUUGCUAAUGAUGCUUCUAAGGUUUUCUUUGAUCAUAAUGUAUCAAUCAGCAACUUGGAGGAUCUCAGUGAUCUAGCCUGUCGAAAGCUUGGUGGAGAAGCCAGAAAGUGGAGUUUAUCAUCUUUAACUGAAAUGAUCAUCUGUCGAAAGGGAACUGUCUCAAUACUUUUCUUAUCUAAAAGGAGUUUGACCACUUGCACACCAGGUUCCAAGAUUUUGAAACAAAGAUGCAUGGUGGCAUAUGUAAUAGUUGAUAAUGCCUUACAUCUCUGUUUGUUGGUCUGUCUACCCCAAGCUACUGAGGCUAUUUGCCUAUCUGGUUGACAUAAUCUAACUGCUUCCUGAUGCUGGUACCUAGUUGCAGCUAACAUGAGUGAGAUGCCUGAGUUCAACAAUUAUUUUGUAUCCAGCUUGGUGGAUACAUGCCACGGCUGCAGGAUAGUCUUUUUAAAACAUGCAGGUCAUAGGUUGCUAACUCCUGAGUUUUGACAAUUCCAAAUUUUUGUUGUUUUUGUUAUUGUUGUUGUUUCUAUCACUGCUUCUUGUGAAAUAUUUAUCCAGGUUGAUAUUCUUGGAAGAAAAGUUCUUUUCUUUCAUGAUAGGGGAAAUCAGCAAUAGUGAGCAAUGAUGGGCAUCUCUUGUUGCAUCUACUUGAAAGUCCUUAACACCUGCUGAUUAUAUUUUGUAUUAGUAUUGACUUUUGAACCCUGCUGUGGGAAAAGUGGUUCCAUGAAGUUUAACUGCAAUAAAUCCUUAUACAGAAAAUUGAAUUUUGUAGCUUCGCAAGCCAAAUAAAAUUAGACUAGGAAAUUGGGAAGUGGCAUCUCUAUCAAAGGAACAGCUAGACUAUGCAGCAACUGAUGCAUAUGUGUCUUGGUACCUGUAUCAGGUGCUGAAAACAUUUCCAGAUCCUGCUGAAACCAACA